rnacentral:rRNA from 1 species
AGCAGCCGCGGUAAUUCCAGCUCCAAUAGCGUAUAUUAAAGUUGUUGCAGUUAAAAAGCUCGUAGUUGAAUUUCGAGACCGGUUUACUGGUCGUGCUUUUGUACGUACUGGUAUUAUUGGUUUCUCCUUUCUGUCGAAUCAUAAUGCCAUUAAUUUGGUGUUUUGGGGAAUCAGGACUGUUACUUUGAAAAAAUUAGAGUGUUUAAAGCAGGCUCACGCUUGAAUACAUUAGCAUGGAAUAACGAAAUAGGACGUUUGAUUUUAUUUUGUUGGUUUCUAGGAUCGACGUAAUGAUUAAUAGGGAUAGUUGGGGGCAUUAGUAUUCAAUUGUCAGAGGUGAAAUUCUUGGAUUUAUUGAAGACUAACUACUGCGAAAGCAUUUGCCAAGGAUGUUUUCAUUAAUCAAGAACGAAAGUUAGGGGAUCGAAGACGAUCAGAUACCGUCGUAGUCUUAACCAUAAACUAUGCCGACUAGGGAUCGGAUGAUGUUAAUUUUUUAAUGACUCAUUCGGCGCCUUAC